UUUUUUUCGUUCUGUCCAAUACAUGUAUCUAUGAGUUUGUGGGGUCCAUGUCAAAUGGUCCAUAUGAGGAUGGGGAUUGGGGAAUUCAAUCGGGCCAAGCUCCUCCUCCUUUAUGUCUAAAAUAUAAAAAUAAAAAUAAAAAUAAAAAAAACUCCUCUGUUGUAUCUGAAAAAAAUGCUCCUUCUCCGUUCUGAAGUUUGAUAAUUAGAUCGGAGAUGACAAAAAUCCCUUUUGACUCGAUUCAACGGCAAUACUCCUCUAAUGUGGCAAGAAUUCCCCGUUUAAACGGAAAUUUGGAUAAGCUUACUUGCCCUGCCUGUAUCGAUCCUGCAAACGAAAUCAUUCUCUGCCCCAUUUCCCCGCUACGGAAUCAGCGUCUUGUCUCCCUUAAAAAUAAAUUAUGAAUGCAAUGAAGACUUAGCAUGAAAAUGUAAAUGAGCAAGAAUGGGGAAUGCUGCUCUAGCCCUCUCUCAUUAAAAAAAAUAUAUAUAUAUAUAUAUUAUAUGUUACAUCA